rnacentral:rRNA from 1 species
UACGUAGGGGGCAAGCGUUAUCCGGAUUUACUGGGCGUAAAGGGAGCGCAGGCGGCGCGCCAAGUCUGAUGUGAAACCCCGGGGCUCAACCCCGGGCAUGCAUUGGAAACUGGCGGGCUGGAGUGCCGGAGAGGUAAGCGGAAUUCCUAGUGUAGCGGUGAAAUGCGUAGAUAUUAGGAGGAACACCAGUGGCGAAGGCGGUCUGCUGGACAGCAACUGACGCUGAGGCGCGAAAGCGUGGGGAGCAAACAGG